CAUGAAGACUUCUCUGAUUCCCUCAGGAGGACGGGACCUCUUCCUUCUCUGAAUUCCCGUGGCCACUCAUUUGUGUGUCCUCUGUACCUUGCCUCAGAGUCAGAUGUAAUGCUUAUGUCCCUGCUCAGCCUACAUACUCCUGGAGGUGAGGGCCCAUCUAGAACUUCUGCUCUGACAUGGCCUCCUUUCCAAGCCUGGGGUCCUGGAUUGGACAAGCCCACCAGAAAUCCCAAAGUCCCUGGACCUCCUGUCUUUAAUCACGGAAUAAGUGGGUCUUUUCUUCUGGACCUCAUCAAGCCGCAUCGGUUCUCUAGAAUCAAAGACAUCUCCCCAGUAGAAGGGGCCCCAAAUCCACGUGAAAGUGAAGAAGUUUUCAAACUUCGAAUUAGGGGCCGGCCCUGUGACCAAGUGGUUAGGUUCUUGCACUCUGUCCGGCGUUUGAAUCCUGGGCGCAGACCUAGCACUGCUCAUCAGGCCAUGCUGAGGCGGCAUCCUGCAUGCCACAACUACAAGGACCUACAACUAGAAUACACAACUAUGUACUGGAGGGGGCUUUGGGGGGAAGAAGAAAAAAGAAAGAUUG
rnacentral:lncRNA from 1 species